CCGAUACUAGAUUGUGUCCGGUCAAUGUGAUUUUUUAUAAGUACGAAUUUUUUGACAAAAUAUAUAAUGUUAACGGUCUGAAUUAUCAAUAUAAACUCAAAAUAAAACCCAAAAUACUUAAAUUAUACCAGUAUAUUUCAUUUUCUAGACUUUAGAGAAACCAGCUCUAUUUUUCCACACCUUCAUCUAUAACCCCGCACUGAUUAUACAAAGAAAAUUCCUUCACACCUCUCUCUCUCUCUGCCCCUUCAAUUUCAUGGCUUCCAUAGCAAUCUUUCUGGUUCUGCUUCCUAUGAUUGCUAAAGGGGAUGAUAACAAUGUCCCGCCUUAUCUUACUCCUUUUUGGGGUACUCUCUCUCUCCUAUUAUAUAUAUUAUAGUGUGUGUUGAAGUGUGAUUGAUCGAGGUUGUUUUAUUUUGUGAUUGGACAGAAAACAUGAAAUAUUGCAAAGAAGUGGAGUGUGGAAGAGGGAAUUGC
rnacentral:lncRNA from 1 species